AAACUGGGAUUAGAUACCCCACUAUGCCACACCAUAAAUUUCACCUACACUUAAAACGCCAGGGUACUACGAGCCCCGCUUAAAACCCAAAGGAUUUGACGGUGUUCCACCCAACUAGAGGAGCCUGUUCUAUAAUCGACAAUCCACGAUCUACCUAACCAUUUUUUGCUACUCAGCCUGUAUACCUCCGUCGUAAGCUUAUCAUUUGAAUGAAGAAAAGUAAGCACAAGGACUAAGAGCCAAAACGUCAGGUCAAGGUGCAGCUUAUAAAAUGGAAGAAAUGAGCUACAAUUUCUAAUUUAGAACACACGAAUUACUGCAUGAAACAAAGUCAUGAAGGUGGAUUUAGCAGUAAGUAAGGAAUAGAGAGCCUUACUUAAUUUGGCCCUGGAACGUGUACACACCGCCCGUCACCCUCUGCAGUCAA
rnacentral:rRNA from 1 species